GAUGAACGCUGGCGGCGUGCUUAACACAUGCAAGUCGAACGGUGAAGCAGGAGCUUGCUCUUGUGGAUCAGUGGCGAACGGGUGAGUAACACGUGAGCAACCUGCCCCUGACUCUGGAUAAGCGCUGGAAACGGCGGCUAAUACUGGUUAUGUGAUGUGACCGCUUGGUCUGCAUCUGGAAAGCAUUUCGGUUGGGGAUGGGCUCGCGGCCUAUCAGCUUGUUGGUGGGGUAAUGGCUCACCAAGGCGUCGACGGGUAGCCGGCCUGAGAGGGUGACCGGCCACACUGGGACUGAGACACGGCCCAGACUCCUACGGGAGGCAGCAGUGGGGAAUAUUGCACAAUGGGCGGAAGCCUGAUGCAGCAACGCCGCGUGAGGGAUGACGGCCUUCGGGUUGUAAACCUCUUUUAGCAGGGAAGAAGCGAAAGUGACGGUACCUGCAGAAAAAGCACCGGCUAACUACGUGCCAGCCGCCGCCGUAA
rnacentral:rRNA from 1 species